CCCUUAGACGUUCUGGGCCGCACGCGCGCUACACUGACGAAGGCAACGAGCUUUCCUUUACCGAAAGGUACGGGUAAUCUUUUGAAACUUCGUCGUGCUGGGGAUAGAUCCUUGCAAUUUUUGAUCUUAAACGAGGAAUGCCUAGUAAGCGCAAGUCAUCAACUUGCGUUGAUUACGUCCCUGCCCUUUGUACACACCGCCCGUCGCUACUACCGAUUGAAUGGUCCGGUGAAGCCUCCGGAUUGGCGCGCACCUCGGUGCCGCCGAGAAGUUGGCUAAACCUUACCAUUUAGAGGAAGGUGAAGUCGUAACA
rnacentral:rRNA from 1 species